rnacentral:rRNA from 1 species
UACGAAGGGGGCUAGCGUUGUUCGGAAUUACUGGGCGUAAAGCGCACGUAGGCGGAUCGGUCAGUUAGGGGUGAAAUCCCAGAGCUCAACUCUGGAACUGCCUUUAAUACUGCCGAUCUCGAGUCCGGAAGAGGUGAGUGGAAUUCCGAGUGUAGAGGUGAAAAUUCGUAGAUAUUCGGAGGAACACCAGUGGCGAAGGCGGCUCACUGGUCCGGUACUGACGCUGAGGUGCGAAAGCGUGGGGAGCAAAUGGG